rnacentral:rRNA from 1 species
GACGAACGCUGGCGGCGUGCUUAACACAUGCAAGUCGAACGGAAAGGCCCUGCUUUUGUGGGGUGCUCGAGUGGCGAACGGGUGAGUAACACGUGAGUAACCUGCCCUUGACUUUGGGAUAACUUCAGGAAACUGGGGCUAAUACCGGAUAGGAGCUCCUGCUGCAUGGUGGGGGUUGGAAAGUUUCGGCGGUUGGGGAGUGGACUCGCGGCUUAUCAGCUUGUUGGUGGGGUAGGUGGCUUACCAAGGCUUUGACGGGUAGCCGGCCUGAGAGGGUGACCGGCC